GACGAACGCUGGCGGCGUGCCUAAUACAUGCAAGUUGAGCGAUGAAGAUUGGUGCUUGCACCAAUUUGAAGAGCAGCAACGGGUGAGUAACGCGUGGGGAAUCUGCCUUUGAGCGGGGGACAACAUUUGGAAACGAAUGCUAAUACCGCAUAACAACUUUAAACAUAAGUUUUAAGUUUGAAAGAUGCAAUUGCAUCACUCAAAGAUGAUCCCGCGUUGUAUUAGCUAGUUGGUGAGGUAAAGGCUCACCAAGGCGAUGAUACAUAGCCGACCUGAGAGGGUGAUCGGCCACAUUGGGACUGAGACACGGCCCAAACUCCUACGGGAGGCAGCAGUAGGGAAUCUUCGGCAAUGGACGAAAGUCUGACCGAGCAACGCCGCGUGAGUGAAGAAGGUUUUCGGAUCGUAAAACUCUGUUGGUAGAGAAGAACGUUGGUGAGAGUGGAAAGCUCAUCAAGUGACGGUAACUACCCAGAAAGGGACGGCUAACUACGUG
rnacentral:rRNA from 1 species